UACGAAGGGGGCUAGCGUUGUUCGGAAUUACUGGGCGUAAAGCGCAUGUAGGCGGACUACUAAGUCAGGGGUGAAAUCCCGGGGCUCAACCCCGGAACUGCCUUUGAUACUGAUAGUCUCGAGUCCGGAAGAGGUGAGUGGAAUUCCGAGUGUAGAGGUGAAAUUCGUAGAUAUUCGGAGGAACACCAGUGGCGAAGGCGGCUCACUGGUCCGGUACUGACGCUGAGGUGCGAAAGCGUGGGGAGCAAACAGG
rnacentral:rRNA from 1 species